AGCAGGGUUGUAUAAAAAGGCGGAGCACAGCGCAGAGGCUCUCUCAGUAGUUCAAGUUCAUCACUGUUUGGCAUCUGUUGGAUUUUCAGCGUGGCUGGGAAGUAGAGGGUCCUGCUGGCCAGUUGGGACUGGCAUUUUCUGGCUUUUAUUGGAAGGUCUCGAGAGCCAACCCAGCUCUUCCCUCCGAACCCACCUCACACCACAUCAGCAGAUAUGAUAAUCAGACUGGGCAGGCUGACACCUGGAUACUUCCGCCUCCUCCAGAGGCAAGUUGCCGGCGAGGUGCAGACGCAGCCACAAGACCGUGCCAUCAACCAGAUAGCCAUGAUGCUGGCCAUCAUGGGCCUGAGUUUGUCCUACUACAGUGCCAAACAGAUGACGGAGAAAGUCCAGGCUCAGCCUGCGCCCUGAAGAGACUUGACUGCUCUGAUUACUGAGAUAAUGGAUGAGCCAAUGAGAAGUAAAGGAGAUGGAGUGAGGAAGCAAGAAGCACAGCAGUGUCUUCCAGGACCGCACUUUUCUCACCUCACGGUCACAGUCACAUUCAGACACUGAAUUUCUGGUAUCCCUCACUCACCAUGCACAGAGAUUUCUGGUGUUUUCUGUACUUUCUGUUGUUGGGACCUUGAGGGAUUUGUGGGGAUGGCUCACCUGGGGUCAUGGACUGGUUUUGGGAGGGUGAUCAAAACCAGCUGACUGCCAACUGGGUCUGACCAUUAGUUGUUACAGAGGUGCAUGCUUGCAAGAUGCCGUCAAUACUGUUCUGAGCCACGAAAGGGGGGUUGGGGGGACUGUGAAUUUUGCUAGUGCUCUAAGCCUGUUAAAUAAUAUGAACAGUAAUGCAUUUUAAAGGAAGGCUGACUGCAACUGAGAUGUACCUCGUAAGGAAGUGAUGGCAGGCCCAGAACAUGGUUAAAGGGGAUUGAAAGUUAGCUCAACCCCUUAAGCUUUUAUUUUUAUUAUCUCCCCACCCCCUGUCACGAGAGAACAUCACAGAGCCUGUGAACUGAUCAGGAGCUGUACUCACAUCACACUGUCAAUAUAUAUACAGUACUUGUGAAAGGUAUCUGUCAGGUGUCAGAUUGAGUGAAUAUUUCCACAAAACUGCAGAAACAUUUUGAAAUACUACAACAGACAGGGACUUAAAAUCACUCACUACCCUUUUUUUUAUAUAUAUGGUGUUUUUUUUCCCCCCCUGUGAUUUAACACUGUUUAACAAUAAUCCAUAAAGUCCUGUUAAUAUGAUGUGUGACUGCCUUGAUAAGCACCCUGGUUAAGAAGUCUUCCUACAUUAUCUGCUACAUGUUAAUGCAAACAUUUAACUAUGAACUAUGAACAUUGCAUGGGUGUGCAGACUUUUAAUCAAAGCAAAAUUCAUGUUUCUCAUUUUUAUUGAUGAAUGAAUGUAUUACUUUAUUUUCUAAUGAUUUAAUAAAGCUGUGAAUAUUUUGAAAGAGA